rnacentral:pre_miRNA from 1 species
AGUGGGAUAGCUGGGUCAAAUGGUGGUUCCAUUCUUAGUUUUCUUAGAAUCUCCAUAUUGCUUUCCAGAGUGGUUACACCAAUUUGCAGUCCCACCAGCAGU